AUGUCUCAGAGAAAACACCAGAAAAGACCAAAAGUUCACACUAACUCUCCUCUCUUGACACAAAUGGAAAAAAUUAUUCAGGAGUUCCAACUAAAGCGUAAUCAAGCGCUUGAAGAAAACAAAGGUUUGCCCAAGAAGUAUUUUGAAACAUCUGGAUUGUUUUCAGAGUCACUGUUUACAGACCACGACAUGUCUCAGAGAAAACACCAGAAAAGACCAAAAGUUCACACUAACUCUCCUCCCUGUAGACAAAUGGACAAAAAUAAUCAGGAGCUCCAACAAAGGCUUAAUCAAGCGCUGGAAGAAAAUGAAGAAAUUCUUUUUGAGAAGGAAGAAUUGAACAUAAAGCUAAGCGACGUGGAACACAAACUCAAAGGCAUGGUGGAAAAAUACAGAGUGCUCCAAAAAAGGCAUGAUGAAACACUGGUAAGAAAUGAACAGUUACUUCACGAGAAUGAGCAACUACAAGAAAGACAGAAAGAAAUGGAUCGCAAGCUUCAGAACACAGAGGACCAACAAACUAACGAUAAGCGGCGCCAGCCUGACAUAAAGAUUAUUAAUGAGGGCUGGGGAAUUUUAUUUGGUCAAUCCCGGGAGAGGAUUAUGAACCUGAUGGACAAAAACAAGCAAAAGAAAGCUGAAUUAAAAGAAAUGGCCGAGCAGCUUCAAGACAGUGACGCUCUUAAUGAGGAGUUACAUUGUGAAAUCCAACAAAUGUUCACAGUGAAUCAGGAGCUCAAACAAAAACUUAAUGAAACACUGCAUAGAAAUGAACAGCUACUUCAUGAGAACGAGCAACGACAAGAAAGACAGAAAGAAAUGGAUCGCAAGCUUCAGAACAUCGAGGACCAACAAACUAACAACAGUACACAAGCCCAAGAGCAGAUUCUGUUCCUGAGGAACAAAAUCAAGCAAAAAAGAGCUGAACUGAAAGAAAUGUCCAAGCAGCUUCAAGACAGGGAAGCUAUUAAUAAGGAGUUACAGUGUGACCUCCAACAAAUGAAUAUAAAGAAUCAGAAGCUCCAAGGAAAUUUCGAUGAAGCGCUGGAAAGAAAUAAAGAAAUUCUUUAUGAGAAGGAAGAAUUGGACAUAAAGCACAGAGGCACGCAGGACAAACUCAAACACGUGGAGGGAAAAUACAAAGUGCUGGAAAAAAGGUUUGAUGACACAGUGCACAAAAUGAAAGGGUUACUUCAAGAGAAAGCGCAACAGGAAGAAAUACAGAAAGAAGAAAAAAUUAUUUCCCAGGACUUUAUGAGGAAACAUCUAAAACUGCAAGAAUUUUAUUUUGAAAUGAAGGACAAAACAACUGGACUGGAAGUAGCAAAGGAAAAACUGGAAAAACAAUGCUCAGAGAUGCAGAGUAGGAUCGAUGAAAUGCUAAGAAAAAACACAGAAGAGCUUGAAGAACUUUCUAACAACUUGAAGUGCAAAAACACUGAAAUGCAGGCCCAAAAGGCGGCAUCUAAAGAACUGAAAGAAAAGCUUGAAGAAAAACAAGCAAAAUUAGAAGAAGUGGAGCAAAGAUGCAAGAAACUUGAGAUGCAAAAUGCAGAAACAAUCAAUGAAUUGAGAACCCUCAUCCUAGAGAAAAAAGCACUCGUGGAACAGCAACUGAAAAAGAAGAAAAAACGCUUCUGCUUGUUCCGGAGGAGGGACACUGCUGCUUCUUCACCUGAUGUAGCCUCAUCUUUCUCAACCUCUGUUCCAUCUUAA
ensembl:lncRNA